rnacentral:rRNA from 1 species
UGAGGAAUAUUGGUCAAUGGACGGAAGUCUGAACCAGCCAUGCCGCGUGAAGGAAGACUGCCCUAUGGGUUGUAAACUUCUUUUAUACGGGGAUAAACCUAUCUUUGCGAAGAUAGCUGAAGGUACCGUAUGAAUAAGCAUCGGCUAACUCCGUGCCAGCAGCCGCGGUAAUACGGAGGAUGCGAGCGUUAUCCGGAUUUAUUGGGUUUAAAGGGUGCGUAGGCGGACAAAUAAGUCAGUGGUGAAAUCACUCAGCUUAACUGAGUAACUGCCAUUGAUACUGUUAGUCUAGAAUGUAAAUGGAGUAGGCGGAAUGAAUCAUGUAGAGGUGACAUUCAUAGAUAUGAUUCAGAACACCGAUCGCGAAGGCAGCUUGCUAAGAUACAAUUGACGCUGAUGCACGAAAGCGUGGGUAGCAAACAGG